GCUGGAAUAGCUCAGUCAGUAGAGCAUUAGAAUUUUAAUCUCAGGAACGUGAGUUUGAACCCCCUGUUGGGCA